UAAAAAAAAUAUUUGAAUUCAAAAAUAGCUUAUAAAUUGAAUAAAAUAUAAUAAAAAAAUAUGCACUUGCGAAAUGAUAGUUGAUAAAUUCUUUCUCCUCAGCUGUGAUACAAACCCCCGACCUCUCUUGUAUAACUUGAACAGACUAGCAUUUACACUACAAACCAUAAUGAGCUGGAAAGUUUGUUAGUUUAAGAUUAACUGAAACUAUGAUGAGGCAUAUUUUAACCUAGGGGCAGAGCUGGCAGCUAAUUUUUACCCUGUCUAAGGUUUUCAACUAUGCUCUUUAAAUGUUCCACAUGAUUAGAAUAGCUCCCUUUCAUUUCUCAUCAACGCAUUUUUUUUGAGGUUUGUCAAUUUCUAUUGUUGGUUUGGAAAAACCUUUGCAUCAAUACACAUUUAGAACCUUCAGAAUUCCCCUUCGAUAUCAAAAGUGUGCCCGUGGCUACUCAACCUUUGAUAGAAGAUAAGAAAGCUGAUGUCUCCAUCAUUGGGAAGUCCAAAGAUAAAGUUGCUGCUUCACGUCAAGAUAUAUUUGCAGGAGAGGU